rnacentral:rRNA from 1 species
GACGGAGGAUGCAAGCGUUAUCCGGAAUGAUUGGGCGUAAAGCGUCUGCAGGUGGCAGUUCAAGUCUGCUGUCAAAGACCGGGGCUUAACUUCGGAAAGGCAGUGGAAACUGAACAGCUAGAGUAUGGUAGGGGCAGAGGGAAUUCCUGGUGUAGCGGUGGAAUGCGUAGAGAUCCGGAAGAACACCGGUGGCGAAGGCCGGUCUCCUGGGGCAUUCUUGGACGCUGAGACGCGAAAGC